UGGGGAAUAUUGGACAAUGGGGGCAACCCUGAUCCAGCAAUACCGCGUGAGUGAAGAAGGCCUUCGGGUUGUAAAGCUCUUUUACCGGGGAAGAUAAUGACGGUACCCGGGGAAUAAGCUCCGGCUAACUUCGUGCCAGCAGCCGCGGUAAUACGAAGGGAGCUAGCGUUGUUCGGAAUUACUUGGCGUAAAGGGCGCGUAGGCGGUUUUGUAAGUCAGAUGUGAAAGCCCCGGGCUUAACCUGGGAACUGCAUUUGAGGCUGCAAGACUAGAGAUCGAGAGAGGAAAGUGGAAUUACGAGUGUAGAAGUGAAAUUCGUAGAUAUUCGUAGGAACACCGGUGGCGAAGGCGACUUUCUGGCUCGACCCUGACGCUAAAGCGCGAAAGCGUGGGGAGCAAACA
rnacentral:rRNA from 1 species